GACGAACCGUGCGAACGUUAUUCGGAAUCACUGGGCUUAAAGCGCGUGUAGGCGGGCCGCCGCGUCGGCUGCUGAAAUCCCCCGGCUCAACCGGGGAACGGGCACCGAUACGGGCGGCCUCGAGGGGGGUAGGGGGGUCUGGAACUUCCGGUGGAGCGGUGAAAUGCGUUGAGAUCGGAAAGAACACCAACGGCGAAAGCACUCUGCUGGGCCGACACUGACACUGAGAGACGAAAGCUAGGGGAGCGAAUGGG
rnacentral:rRNA from 1 species